GAUGAAGAACGUAGCGAAAUGCGAUACUUGGUGUGAAUUGCAGAAUCCCGUGAACCAUCGAGUCUUUGAACGCAAGUUGCGCCCGAAGCCAUUAGGCCGAGGGCACGCCUGCCUGGGCGUCACACGUCGUUGCCCCCCCAUCUACUCCUUCGGGAUUGCGGGGGGCGGAUGAUGGCCUCCCGUGCGCCUCGUCGCGCGGUUGGCAUAAAUGCCAAGUCCUCGGCGACACACGCCACGACAAUCGGUGGUUGCGAAACCUCGGUUGCCCGUCGUGUGCGGUCGUCGCGCAUCGAGGGCUCGAAAAAAUUGCCGGGCUCCGGCUCGGCUUUCAACGCGACCCCAGGUCAGGCGGGGUUACCCGCUGAAUUUAAGCAUAUCAUAAGCGGAGGA
rnacentral:misc_RNA from 1 species